rfam:Nicotiana sylvestris Nsyl_contig33635, whole genome shotgun sequence.
GGAUUCGAUCAUACCAGCGCUAAUGCACCGGAUCCCAUCAGAACACCGAAGCAAAGCAUGCUUGGGCGAGAGUAGUACCAGUAUGGGUGACCCCCUGGGACGUCCUCGUGUUGCAUCCC